CUAAAAAAAAUCGACAUAGUUGCUGUUUCGCGGUGACAAUCGUCGGAAAUUGGGUCAUCUUAAACCUUUUGGGUUUUUAAGCGGCUUAAAAUUUUAUUUACGAUUUCACGAACGUUUUUAAGAUUUUAUUUUCUUAUACGUUUUAAGGUAUCGAUCUUUACUAGACGUGGCCGUUGCAUCGGAUCACGUCCAUAAAUAUUUCGUU
rnacentral:misc_RNA from 1 species